rnacentral:SRP_RNA from 1 species
GCUGGGCGUGGUGGCGCACGCCUGUAAUCCCAGCUACUCAGGAGGCUGAGGCAGAAGAAUCGCUUGUACCGGGGAGGCAGAGGUUGCAGUGAACCAAGAUCUCGCUACUGCACUCUAGCCUGGGUGACAGAGUGAGAUUCUGUCUCAG